GAAACUGCCUGAUGGAGGGGGAUAACUACUGGAAACGGUGGCUAAUACCGCAUAAUGUCGCAAGACCAAAGAGGGGGACCUUCGGGCCUCUUGCCAUCAGAUGUGCCCAGAUGGGAUUAGCUUGUUGGUGAGGUAACGGCUCACCAAGGCGACGAUCCCUAGCUGGUCUGAGAGGAUGACCAGCCACACUGGAACUGAGACACGGUCCAGACUCCUACGGGAGGCAGCAGUGGGGAAUAUUGCACAAUGGGCGCAAGCCUGAUGCAGCCAUGCCGCGUGUAUGAAGAAGGCCUUCGGGUUGUAAAGUACUUUCAGCGGGGAGGAAGGUGUUGCGGUUAAUAACCGCAGCAAUUGACGUUACCCGCAGAAGAAGCACCGGCUAACUCCGUGCCAGCAGCCGCGGUAAUACGGAGGGUGCAAGCGUUAAUCGGAAUUACUGGGCGUAAAGCGCACGCAGGCGGUCUGUCAAGUCGGAUGUGAAAUCCCCGGGCUCAACCUGGGAACUGCAUUCGAAACUGGCAGGCUUGAGUCUUGUAGAGGGGGGUAGAAUUCCAGGUGUAGCGGUGAAAUGCGUAGAGAUCUGGAGGAAUACCGGUGGCGAAGGCGGCCCCCUGGACAAAGACUGACGCUCAGGUGCGAAAGCGUGGGGAGCAAACAGGAUUAGAUACCCUGGUAGUCCACGCCGUAAACGAUGUCUACUUGGAGGUUGUGCCCUUGAGGCGUGGCUUCCGGAGCUAACGCGUUAAGUAGACCGCCUGGGGAGUACGGCCGCAAGGUUAAAACUCAAAUGAAUUGACGGGGGCCCGCACAAGCGGUGGAGCAUGUGGUUUAAUUCGAUGCAACGCGAAGAACCUUACCUGGUCUUGACAUCCACAGAACUUUCCAGAGAUGGAUUGGUGCCUUCGGGAACUGUGAGACAGGUGCUGCAUGGCUGUCGUCAGCUCGUGUUGUGAAAUGUUGGGUUAAGUCCCGCAACGAGCGCAACCCUUAUCCUUUGUUGCCAGCGGUCCGGCCGGGAACUCAAAGGAGACUGCCAGUGAUAAACUGGAGGAAGGUGGGGAUGACGUCAAGUCAUCAUGGCCCUUACGACCAGGGCUACACACGUGCUACAAUGGCGCAUACAAAGAGAAGCGACCUCGCGAGAGCAAGCGGACCUCAUAAAGUGCGUCGUAGUCCGGAUUGGAGUCUGCAACUCGACUCCAUGAAGUCGGAAUCGCUAGUAAUCGUGGAUCAGAAUGCCACGGUGAAUACGUUCCCGGGCCUUGUACACACCGCCCGUCACACCAUGGGAGUGGGUUGCAAAAGAAGUAGGUAGCUUAACCUUCGGGAGGGCGCUUACCACUUUGUGAUUCAUGACUGGGGUGAAGUCGUAACAAGGUAACCGUAGGGGAACCUGC
rnacentral:rRNA from 1 species